UCACACCUGAAGGAACUGGAUCUGACCUACAAUCACCCAGGAGAGUCAGGAGUGAAGCUGCUCUCUGCUAGACGAGAGGAUCCACUAUGCUUACUGAGCAAACUCGGAUUGGAACAUAGAGGUGAAAACAGAAUCAGAGCAGGACUGAAGAAAUAUUCCUGUGACUUCACUCUGGAUCCAAACACAGUGAACAGAUUUCUCACUCUGUCUGACGGGAACAGGAAGGUGGAGCGUGUGUGGGAUGAUCACUCGUAUCCUGAUCAUCCAGAGAGAUUUGAUGAGUGGUGUCAGGUUCUGUGUAGAGAGAG